rnacentral:rRNA from 1 species
GGACCCGCACAAGUAGUGGAGCAUGUGGUUUAAUUCGAAGAUACGCGCAGAACCUUACCAACACUUGACAUGUUCGUCGCGACUUUAAGAGAUUAAAGUUUUCGGUUCGGCCGGACGAAACACAGGUGCUGCAUGGCUGUCGUCAGCUCGUGUCGUGAGAUGUUGGUUAAGUCCCGCAACGAGCGCAACCCUCACUUUUAGUUGCCAUCACGUUUGGGUGGGCACUCUAGGGAAACUGCCGGUGCUAAGCCGGAGGAAGGCGGGAUGACGUCAAGUCCUCAUGGCCCUUACGGGUAGGGCUACACACGUGCUACAAUGGCAGUGACAAUGGGAUAAUCCCCAAAAGCUGUCUCA